AGGAGAGCAGAGUUCUGACACCAUUUACUCCAAAUUGAUGUUUUAAGGUGCUGUUUCUGGAUCAAUAUGACGAAUGCUCAGACAACCUUCAUCAAAACAGGAAUACAAAAAAAAAAAGAAUAUGUUGAAGAAUUUGAUAUAUUACCCUGAUUAUUAAUUGUAUAGUUUAAAUUAUUAAACAUAAUAUGCAAAUCUUCAUAAUCUGUGACAUUUUAAAUCAUGAUUCUGACCACUGAUACAGUACUGCAUUUACUGUUACAUUUAUUAUAUGUAUAACAGAAUUGUGAAUAUUAAAAGCAAAUAGCAAUAGGCCUCCACUAGAUGUCAUAAUAGUCGCUUCAGCCACAUUUUUGGUUAGCACUUGUGCAUUAUUUUGUUAUAUACUGUGUCCUCUUGCUUUGAUACCUGUGCUGCUUGUAGCCUGUUUUUAUUAUGUAAGCCAAUCAAAUGUACUUUUCACAUGUUGCAAAAUCUAAAUAAAGUACUAAAGCG